GCACAAGCAGCGGAGCGUGUGGUUAAUUCGAUGCUACACGAAGAACCUUACCAGGGUUUGACAUGUUGGUGGUAGGAAUUCGAAAGAUGACCGACCUUCGGGGAGCCUUCACAGGUGCUGCAUGGCUGUCGUCAGCUCGUGUCGUGAGAUGUUCGGUUAAGUCCGCUAACGAGCGCAACCCUCGCUGUGUGUUACAAGUGUCACACGGGACUGCCGGUAUCAAGCCGGAGGAAGGUGGGGAUGACGUCAAGUCAGCAUGGCCUUUAUGUCCUGGGCUACACACACGCUACAAUGGUCGACACAAUAGGUAGCCAAGCCGCGAGGCGGAGCCAAUCCUUAAAGUCGGCCUCAGUUCAGAUUGUAGGCUGCAACCCGCCUGCAUGAAGAUGGAGUUGCUAGUAAUCGCAGGGCAGCAAUACUGCGGUGAAUACGUUCCCGGGUCUU
rnacentral:rRNA from 1 species